GGGGGUGUACUGGUUUCGACGGGAUUCGUUGAAGUGAAUGUAAGCACGUCGAGGUUGCCGUUGGCCUCGUUAAAAAGCGGCAAUGCUAUAAAUGCAAACAUUGACGAAGUAGCUCUAGCAGCUGCCUAAUCAAAACUAGACCUGCCGUAACACGCGGGUCGCCCCGAGGGUUAUUUGUCUGUGAUGGCUUUCGGGUUCAACUUAGCAGGCUAGGGGGCUUGGCAAGUCUUGGCCGGUCUUUCGAAACUUAAA
rnacentral:tmRNA from 1 species